rnacentral:rRNA from 1 species
GACGUAGGGGACGAGCGUUGUCCGGAUUCAUUGGGCGUAAAGCGCGCGUAGGCGGUUUGGUAAGUCGGAUGUGAAAACCAGAGGCUCAACCUCUGGCCUGCAUCCGAUACUGCCCGACUAGAGGUAGGUAGGGGAGAUCGGAAUUCCUGGUGUAGCGGUGAAAUGCGUUGAUCUACAGAGGAACACCAAAAAAGGCGAAGGCAGUCAACUAUUCUGUUCCUGACAUUGAGGCAUGAAAGCGUGGGGAGCAAACCGG